GAGUAAUGUCUGGGAAACUGCCUGAUGGAGGGGGAUAACUACUGGAAACGGUAGCUAAUACCGCAUAACGUCGCAAGACCAAAGAGGGGGACCUUCGGGCCUCUUGCCAUCAGAUGUGCCCAGAUGGGAUUAGCUAGUAGGUGGGGUAACGGCUCACCUAGGCGACGAUCCCUAGCUGGUCUGAGAGGAUGACCAGCCACACUGGAACUGAGACACGGUCCAGACUCCUACGGGAGGCAGCAGUGGGGAAUAUUGCACAAUGGGCGCAAGCCUGAUGCAGCCAUGCCGCGUGUGUGAAGAAGGCCUUCGGGUUGUAAAGCACUUUCAGCGGGGAGGAAGGGAGUAAGGUUAAUAACCUUAUUCAUUGACGUUACCCGCAGAAGAAGCACCGGCUAACUCCGUGCCAGCAGCCGCGGUAAUACGGAGGGUGCAAGCGUUAAUCGGAAUUACUGGGCGUAAAGCGCACGCAGGCGGUCUGUCAAGUCGGAUGUGAAAUCCCCGGGCUCAACCUGGGAACUGCAUCCGAAACUGGCAGGCUUGAGUCUCGUAGAGGGAGGUAGAAUUCCAGGUGUAGCGGUGAAAUGCGUAG
rnacentral:rRNA from 1 species